rnacentral:rRNA from 1 species
UACGGAGGAUGCAAGCGUUAUCCGGAUUUAUUGGGUUUAAAGGGUGCGUAGGCGGAUAUGUAAGUCAGCGGUGAAACUCACAGGCUCAACCUGUGCCGUGCCGUUGAAACUGUGUAUCUGGAAUGCGGAUGCUGUGGGAGGAAUGUGUAGUGUAGCCGUGAAAUGCAUAGAUAUUACACAGAACACCGAUUGCGAAGGCAGCUUACUAAUCCAUCAUUGACGCUGAGGCACGAAAGCGUGGGGAU